UCAUGCAGGAGACUCAAUUUGGCUUCGCUAACGGACACAGUUUUGAACUCGUAUAUUAGCGCCAUUUAUAGUUGCUUGGACCACAGCAUCUUCGGAAUUUGUAGACAUCCUGGCAGCUUACAAUUAGUUCGAGGUGAGGGUGCUGACCCAAAUCUGUGUGGACCAGAACGUACCAAAGAGAACUACAACUCUGCUGUUGAUCGCCUCCAGAUUGACAAUACACCAGACGUCGAAGGAGUGAAGUUCAGACAUCUCGGAAAUGGGGGACAGCAUAAGGAGUUCCAUUACUAAGGUGCUGCCGGACCUGUCUGCCUCAAUCCUUGAAAUUGUACUGGAGGCACUACAAUC